rnacentral:lncRNA from 1 species
AUUUCACUGAGUCUGCAGAAAAGUCACUGAUUAGUCUUUGUUGUGCAAAUAAUAUUGUUACACAGGAAAUUUGGCAUGCUUUUUUUCUAAGUGUCUUACACUGACUGUGGUAGGUCCCAGGUGUAAAAGCAAGGACAAACUAAACUAAUUCUAAGGAGUUGAAAUCACUUCAAUAUAUAGAAGUAAAAACUACACAAGCACUCUGUUUUUACAAGGUAAUUCUCAGCACUAUGUUGGAACUCCUGUGUUAUCAGAGACGAUGGCUACAACUUGUAGGUCCUCAUGGAAAGUUAACCCUACCAUUGUCCGUGAGCAAUUAUUUUAUGAUCAUUACUAAUAAUUCUCUGCUGUGACGGACAUUCCCUUUCUCUUUAUUCACAUGCUGCAACAGUGACUGAGUGGGAGGACACUUUGCAGAGAAGUGGAAUGGGUCCUGCUUGGUAUGCUGGCUGUGCUAAAGUAUGACAGCACUAAAAAUGCUUUACUUUUGAGAUACAACACCAGAAAAAUAUAAUGGCAAUGCAGCAGAUUCAUCACAUCAUAAUCAAACUCCUGAAUCUUAAAAUGAUUGGAUUUGUUACAGCUGUCUGUGUUGCCCACAAUAUUUGGGUUAUACUUGUAAGAAGCACUUCGAUAGAGAGAACAUGCAGCCUAUUUGUAGGAG